UAAAAAAAAAAAAAAAAAAAUCACCUUAUUCAUGGGAAAAUGGAAUGGGAUGACCAUUUGCAGUGCUUUGGUCAUUAUUGCUGUAUCAUAUGAAUUAGCUAAGUAAAUCAUGCAAUAACCUGCAACAGCAACUAUGGAGCAGUGAUGUGCCAAAUUUAGUUUCCUUUAGAUGGGUUGUGUGUCUACUGUCUAAACAACUCAGAUGUAUAUAGGCUGAAGCUUUGGACACAUACUAUGGGAAAAAGGGAAAAAAGAAAGGACAACAAGAAAAAUAACAAAUAAAUAAAUGUGUCUGCUUUACAACUCAAAGACUCUCAAGUGAAACCUGAUUGAUGGAACAUGUAAAAGUUGUCAAAAGAGUUUAUGCAUCCUGUCACUAAAUUCACUUAAUUGCCACUAGACAAAAGUAUGGAGGGAAUUCGUAGUUCUAAUCAAAUUCUGUUUCCAGUCUGCUUUGCAUUGUAGCUUAACCCAAAAGUGCUCCCUUUUGAAUUUCUAGUGGCUUUUUUUACAUAUUCAAACUGCAUUAAUAAGCAUUCUUUUAUUUCUUCCACUUUAUGUGCUCUUUCAGUUGCUCCUAGAAGAAUUUAUUUUGAUUCCAUGCUUUAUCGGUCAUACCCCUUUUAAUUUUAAAUGCUAUCUUGAAUCUAAAAUGUCAUGCAAUCAUCUUAUAAUUUUUGUUUCUGCAUUUGUUAUAGGUAAAAAUGCCUGAUAAGUAGUGUUUUCUCUAUAUUAAUAAAGAAACCAAUGAACUUUUGCAUUCUACCUGGAAUACUAUUGGGAAAAACCCAACUCAAAUAUUAAGAAUCUGAUCAGAUUUCAUUUGAAAAAAUCACAAAGUUAUAUAUCUUUGCAUGUAAUUUGUGCCAUUGGAAGUUGCAUAUGUGGAUAUCUCGAGUUCAGGAUUCAACUCUCUUGAGACUUAUGAUUCUAAUAGCUGAUGAUUGUUGACUGAAUUACUAAAGCUGGCAUGGAUUUAGGAAAACUAUUUUGCUUUAAGGUGUGGCAGAGAUGCAAAAUGAUGAUAGUAUUGAAUUUUCUAUUUGUAUAGAUGCUACAUGGCACAGCAGAGAAGACGUCCAAAAAGCAUUGAUGGUUGCAGAAUAUGAGAAGGCGCAAAGAACAGCAGCUGCCAAGGUUAAUCAGAUGUGCAAGGGCGUCGAGAAAGGACAGAAUUUCUCAGCAGAUUUUAAUUUAGAAAGUGGGGAGCUUGCUCCAAUGUUUUUCCCUGGCCCCUUUGCAAUUGCUCACCACUUAAUCUCUUCUUGGGUUAAUCAAUCUUCAACAAUUGGAG
rnacentral:misc_RNA from 1 species